UACGAAGGGGGCUAGCGUUGCUCGGAAUCACUGGGCGUAAAGCGCACGUAGGCGGGUUGUUAAGUCAGGGGUGAAAUCCUGGAGCUCAACUCCAGAACUGCCUUUGAUACUGGCGAUCUCGAGUCCGGGAGAGGUGAGUGGAACUGCGAGUGUAGAGGUGAAAUUCGUAGAUAUUCGCAAGAACACCAGUGGCGAAGGCGGCUCACUGGCCCGGUACUGACGCUGACGGUGCGAAAGCGUGGGGAGCAAACAGGG
rnacentral:rRNA from 1 species